rnacentral:rRNA from 1 species
UACAGAGGGUGCGAGCGUUUAAUCGGAAUUACUGGGCGUAAAGCGCGCGUAGGCGGCUUUGCAAGUCGGGUGUGAAAUCCCCAGGCUUAACCUGGGAACUGCAUUCGAGACUGCAUUGCUAGAGUAUGGGAGAGGGAAGUGGAAUUUCAGGUGUAGCGGUGAAAUGCGUAGAUAUCUGAAGGAACAUCAGUGGCGAAAGCGACUUCCUGGACCAAUACUGACGCUCAUGUGCGAAAGCGUGGGGAGCAAACAGG